GACGAACGCUGGCGGCGUGCUUAACACAUGCAAGUCGAACGGAAAGGCCCUGCUUUUGUGGGGUGCUCGAGUGGCGAACGGGUGAGUAACACGUGAGUAACCUGCCCUUGACUUUGGGAUAACUUCAGGAAACUGGGGCUAAUACCGGAUAGGAGCUCCUGCUGCAUGGUGGGGGUUGGAAAGUUUCGGCGGUUGGGGAUGGACUCGCGGCUUAUCAGCUUGUUGGUGGGGUAGUGGCUUACCAAGGCUUUGACGGGUAGCCGGCCUGAGAGGGUGACCGGCCACAUUGGGACUGAGGUACGGCCCAGACUCCUACGGGAGGCAGGGGUGGGGAAUAUUGCACAAUGGGCGGAGGCCUGAUGCAGCAACGCCGCGUGCGGGAUGACGGCCUUCGGGUUGUAAACCGCUUUCGCGUGUGACGAAGCGUGAGUGACGGUAAUGGGGAAAGAGACACCGGCUAACUACGU
rnacentral:rRNA from 1 species